GACGAACGCUGGCGGCGUGCUUAACACAUGCAAGUCGAACGGUGAAGCGCCUUCCUUUUUGGUGGGUGUGGAUGAGUGGCGAACGGGUGAGUAACACGUGAGUAACCUGCCCCCUUCUUCUGGAUAACCGCAUGAAAGUGUGGCUAAUACGGGAUAUUCUGGGUCUGUCGCAUGAUGGGUCUGGGAAAGAUAUUGUUUCGGUGGGGGAUGGGCUCGCGGCCUAUCAGCGUGUUGGUGGGGUGAUGGCCUACCAAGGCGGUGACGGGUAGCCGGCCUGAGAGGGUGGGCGGUCCAACUGGGACUGAGACACGGCCCAGACCCCUACGGGGGGGAGCAGUGGGGAAUAUUGCAAAAGGGGCGAAAGCCGUAUGCAGCGACGCCGGGGGGGGGAGGGGGGCCUUCGGGUUGGUAACCUCUUUCGCCAGUGAAGCAGGCCUCCCUCUUUUGGGGGGGGGUUGGCGGUAGUUGGAUAAGAAGCGCCGGCUAACUACGU
rnacentral:rRNA from 1 species